rnacentral:sRNA from 1 species
UGAUGUUGAGGAUGAUGGUGC